rnacentral:lncRNA from 1 species
GGCAGACAGACAGACGGACCAAAUGUAAAUAGCCCGACCCAACAAGUGUGGUCGUUUCAAGUACGACACCACAAAAUUAACAGACUUUUAAAACAAAUCUAUUUCAGUAUUUCCAAACCCGUAGUUGGAUUUAUAUACCAAAUACACAAGCAAAUACCAGAAAAUAAAUAUCCAAAGGGAAGCUAAGACAACAUAAGACUCGUUCUGUCCUGAAUAUGCUUUCACUUAAAUAAUCUGUAAUCAGCAAACCAUGAAACGCAGACUCGUGGGAGGUUCAAAAUCUAGGUUGUUACCAAUACCAAGGGAAGUAAUCAGGAUGAGUUUUAAUCGAAGGAUCAAUUCAGGCAAGGGACAAGGCGUUUCUCUGCAAUAAAAUAAUUCAGUAAGAUACAACUUUUAUUAGACAACACGCAUAUGAAUCAGCUGCACAUUUAAUAAGUUACAGUUUUGCGAGUCAAUGGUCUAUUUCUGCAGUCUAUAACAAGAUUUCUUAGACCAAGAAAAUAAAUUCUUUCAGUAUCUAACUUUUUUUUAACGACUCACUCUGCCGUUCUGAUCAGGGCUUGCAUAUGGAUUUCGCUUGUUAACACUUUAAUACUUAAAUUUACCGUCCUUAAGUUCAAGUCAUAGAUUUGAGUCACUCACGUGAAUGCCAACAAAUAAUGACUCCGAACUUUUACUUGCUUUAACCCGCAAGUUAUAAAUAACUUUAACCUUAACAACUGAACAGCUGAACAGUUAACCGAAUCUCGUUAUUCGCCAACUGACAACUUUUAUUCAGUUCAAAGAACUUUUCAAAAACUCAACUCAUAAUUUAACCAGCGAACCGCUUUCUAAAUAAUUCACG